rnacentral:rRNA from 1 species
CCUACGGGUGGCUGCAGUGGGGAAUAUUGCGCAAUGGGCGCAAGCCUGACCCAGCAACGCCGCGUGAAGGAAGAAGGCCUUCGGCUUGUAAACCUCUUUCAGCAGGGAAGAGCAGAAGCCGGUACUUACUGAAUAAGCCACGGCUAACUACGUGCCAGCAGCCGCGGUAAUACGUAGGGGGCAAGCGUUGUCCGAAUUUACUGGGUGUAAAGGGCGUGCAGCCGGGAAGACAAGUCAGAUGUGAAAUCCCGGGGCUCAACCGCGGAACUGCAUUUGAAACUGUUUUUCUGGAGUACCGGAGAGGUCAUCGGAAUUCCUGGUGUAGCGGUGAAAUGCGUAGAUAUAAGGAAGAACACCAGUGGCGAAGGCGGAUGGCUGGACGGCAACUGACGUUGAGGCGCGAAAGCGUGGGGAGCAAACAGGAUUAGAUACCCUUGUAGUC